rnacentral:rRNA from 1 species
ACUCCUACGGGAGGCUGCAGUGGGGAAUUUUCCGCAAUGGGCGCAAGCCUGACGGAGCAAGACCGCGUGAGGGAGGAAGGCUCUUGGGUUGUAAACCUCUUUUAUCAGGGAAGAAGAUCUGACGGUACCUGAUGAAUCAGCAUCGGCUAACUCCGUGCCAGCAGCCGCGGUAAUACGGAGGAUGCAAGCGUUAUCCGGAUUUAUUGGGCGUAAAGCGUCCGCAGGUGGUUUUUCAAGUCUGCUGUUAAAGCGCAGAGCUUAACUCUGUAACGGCGGUGGAAACUGAGAGACUAGAGUAUGGUAGGGGUUGCGGGAAUUCCCAGUGUAGCGGUGAAAUGCGUAGAUAUUGGGAAGAACCACCAGCCGGGCGAAAGCGCGCAACUGGGCCAUUACUGACACUCAUGGACGAAAGCUAGGGGAGCGAAAGGGAUUAGAUACCCCCUGUAGUCCUAGCUGUAAACGAUGGGUACUAGGUGUUGACCGUAUCGACCCGGUCAGUGCCGUAGCUAACGCGUUAAGUACCCCGCCUGGGGAGUAUGCACGCAAGUGUGAAACUCAAAGGAAUUGACGGGGGCCCGCACAAGCGGUGGAGUAUGUGGUUUAAUUCGAUGCAACGCGAAGAACCUUACCAGGGCUUGACAUGUCGCGAAUCUCGGUGAAAGUCGAGAGUGCCUUCGGGAGCGCGAACACAGGUGGUGCAUGGCUGUCGUCAGCUCGUGUCGUGAGAUGUUGGGUUAAGUCCCGCAACGAGCGCAACCCUCGUUUUUAGUUGCCAGCAUUUAGUUGGGCACUCUAGAGAGACUGCCGGUGACAAACCGGAGGAAGGUGGGGAUGACGUCAAGUCAGCAUGCCCCUUACGUCCUGGGCUACACACGUACUACAAUGCUUCGGACAAAGGGUUGCGAGCUAGCGAUAGCAAGCUAAUCCCGUAAACCGAGGCUCAGUUCAGAUUGCAGGCUGCAACUCGCCUGCAUGAAGGAGGAAUCGCUAGUAAUCCCGGGUCAGCAUACUGGGGUGAAUACGUUCCCGG